UAUGUGUCGAAUUCAACCCCUACGCGUUUCAUAGACAAAAGAAACCCCUCAUUUGACAGGAACUGGCGGCUGACUGCUGAAUUACCGAUAUUUGUCAGCCAAACCAUCCCCUGGCAUUUUUUUUUGUUGUUAUUCGUGAUUUAUUUAUUAGAAAGUGGACGUUCGGAUCGUUAUAAGUGAAGUUAUAAACAGCGAGUUAUAUCAGUGUCCAAGAUAUAUAUUCGCAAUUGCGUAAACCCAGUAUAAUACUAUGGCGAUAUGAAAUGUACGAAAGAUUCUCAUAUUAGGCAUAAUAUGCCUCUGUUUGAUGAAGAAUGAACACAGAAGACCAAGAGAGGAAUACCAAUACCGCUAGUAUUAUACAUUCUAGCAGCACUUCGAUUCUAUGAAACGGGAUGUUAUCAGACUGUAUGUGCAUUCCAUCAAGCAUUCUAUGAAAUAACAGAAAUGCCACAAGUCAAGCUGUAUUGAUGGCACGCAUAGGUAUACAUAUAAACAACCCCGGAGGACCCUAUGCACAGAUUUAAAGAAACCGGCUAUCAUGGCAGGGAAUAGCUGUGAUGAGCUCUGAGAAUACUGUUUUACCAAGAAUACUGAGAAUACUUUGGUCCUUGAAAAUCCGAGUUUUCAGAUCACAGUAAUUGGAAGACCCACAUACCUUGAAAAGUCAGCAGCAUUUAAUAUAGAGGUAGUAGGAGUGAGUGCAGUAUGUUGUAAGGUGGUCACUCACUCUGAAGUCCAUAACAAUAGAAAAUGUAUACAAAUCUUAAUUGAAUGAAAUUUAUUGAUUCACAUCUUUAAUAAAGAUAAUUAUUAAAUGUUUA